AAAUCGAAAGGGCUCUGGUGGAUGGAGCUGACACCAACACCAAGUUGCUGUCUAGAGGGAUGAACGUUCAUGGACGACCAGAGGCAGCCAGCACUCCACGCACAGUUCUGUACGAGACGUGUAUCGAGCCCUUUUUAACAGUUCGGUUGUUGACGAACUCGACAUUUUUAUCGCAAGCCCAGGAAUCACACGCUUGAGGGUCUUGUCUUUGGAGAAUCGUUGGUAAGAGAAGAGGUUGAUUCAAGUUUUAGGAGGCUGUCUGUUUGCAUCAACGAAACCGGAGUCUAGUGGUGGUCCGUUAACGAGUCAAGAGGACCACGUAGUAGGUGUCGGUAGGGCAAUCUUAAACAGCGGAGGCAAUAGUGUGGUGUUCCGUGAGAUAUUUUGUGUGUUGUGUGAUAGGAUUGAUCUCAGACCUUUUCUUGGUGCAACCCAUCGGAUUUGGUGCGACCCCGGAUACUCUCUCUUGCCAACCCAAGACUUUCCUCCGGUGACCUAGGGCGGCUCCGUCCAAGGAAGCGAUCUUCGGACGGGGAUCUUGGAAAGGACGGUGGUUAGGCAUUUCCAUCAGCUACGAUGAAGACGAAGUUCAUCAACGACUCGAGUUUAACUAUCAAAUUGAUGGAAGGGAACGCGGGAGCGUUUCGCGGAAUUUGUGAGUUGUCUAAAACAGACUCUUAUAAAGUAGAAGUAAAUCCAAAUGCCACGUAUCGAGAGUACAUGGCGGCCACUGGAAGUAAAGGAGAAAGACUUAUAUUAUCGGAAGAAGAAGUUUAUAAACACAGCACUAUAAGAAUAGUAGAUGAUUAUUCAAAGCCGGAAAAGUUUAGAUUUCAGUUCGAGAACCCAAGAGUUGAAGGUGAAACCCAUGCACCGAGGCAAUUGCUAUUCAAGUGGUGGGAUAAAUUGAUUUCAAGAAUUAGAUCUGGAGAAGUAGGUUCUGACGAAGAUGGUGGAAGUGCCAAAAGUAGGGGAGGCCAGAACGUGGUUACCUCUCACCCAGAUGCAGAAUCGAGUCCGAAAGGUAGUGGAGGCUAGAAUUUGGGUAUCUCUCGCUUAGAUGCAGAAUCGAGUACGCUCGCCAGCUGAUGUUAGAAUCCAAUUACAUCAGUCUAUUCCGGUGCACAUUCCGUAAGCCCACCAGGCGGUGUCGGAACAAAUGCAGAUUCUGCGGAUUGCAGCGGGGCUGCUUUCUCCUGUGCAGCAGCAAGCACACCAGACGGUUAAAGUCGGCCGACUAUGUGCUUUCGGUGGAAGCAAGGGAUCGGACGAAUCGGGUCGGCCGUAGAGAAGUGAAAGAUUUUAUAUAUGUUAACUAUCCUCGGUUGUUAGGUACGUUUGAAGCAUCGAGAAAGGGAAAAGAUGGGAUUGUCUAUUAUGUCAGGGGUGAGGUGUGAAUGAACGUGUUACAUUCUACUCCAAAUUAUUGUUGUAAUUGUGAAGGCAAAGAAGAUUUAUAAAUAUACUAAUUUGUGCAAUUCUUUUCAAUUUA